rnacentral:rRNA from 1 species
GAUGAACGCUAGCGGCAGGCCUAACACAUGCAAGUCGAGGGGUAACUAGAGUGAUAGCAAUAUUACUUUGGCUAGACCGGCGCACGGGUGCGUAACACGUAUGCAACCUACCUUAUACUGGGGAAUAACUUCGAGAAAUCGGCGCUAAUACCCCAUAACAUUGCGAAGAGGCAUCUCUUUGCAAUUAAAGCUCCGGCGGUGUAAGAUGGGCAUGCGUCCAAUUAGCUAGUUGGUGAGGUAACGGCUCACAAAGGCUACGAUUGGUAGGGGUUUUGCGAGGAUGAUCCCCCACACUGGUACGGAGACACGGACCAGACUCCUACGGGAGGCAGCAGUGGGGAAUAUUGCACAAUGGGCGCAAGCCUGAUGCAGCCAUGCCGCGUGUAUGAAGAAGGCCUUCGGGUUGUAAAGUACUCUCAGCGGGGAGGAAGGCGGUGAGGUUAAUAACCUCGCCGAUUGACGUUACCCGCAGAAGAAGCACCGGCUAACUCCGUGCCAGCAGCCGCCGUAAUAC